rnacentral:lncRNA from 1 species
CAAAUAUUACUAUUUUAGGACUGCAGUUUAUCGUGGAUAACUAAAAUCAUGGAUAGCAAAACUAUGGAUAAGUAAGAACUACUAUAUAAAGAAUGAAGGAUUUGUGCAUUUAGUGCAAUACAUACAUAUAUGGAUUGUGGAAGAAUAUAGUUUAAUAUCAAAACAGAAAAGGAGAGUAAUAAGUGAUAUUUUUUGUCUAAUAUGGAGAGAAAGCAAGGAAGAAAAAAAUAAGAAUGUGAAAAAUAAAAUAAAGAGAAUAGAAGUUAGAAGAAAGCAGGGAAGGGAAGCUGAAUAUAGUUGCUAGAAAUCCAGAUGCAUAAAGAGAAAGCAGAAAGAAGAAAAUUCAGGAAGAUAUCUGUAAAUCUGGGUAUUCCCUUCCAUGGAAAAACACAGGUAAUAUAUCUUUUCUCUCCCUGAAGCCCAAAUAGCUUUGUAACAUUAGGGCCUUUCCAGAUACCCUUUUUUAAAUGAGUCUUUUUUCACACAGGCUCACAGCUCCAUACAUUGGGAUUCUCCCUUGUCAUACACACAAAGCACAGAUUAUAUGUACUUACUCUCAGCUUCACCAAAUUCAUCUCACACAAAAUGCAAGGUCCCACUUCUGAACAGAGUAGUUUCCUUUGAGGACAUAUUUAAAGGUAAGAUCCUGAGGGUUAAACAAGGCAUUCCCUGGAGCUUUUAAGAACCCUCAACUUUAUUACUUUUCCAUCCUCUGAGAAAUCCGGG